rnacentral:rRNA from 1 species
GCUUGUCUCAAAGAUUAAGCCAUGCAUGUCUCAGUAUAAGCUUCUAUACGGCGAAACUGCGAAUGGCUCAUUAAAACAGUUAUAGUUUAUUUGGUGGUCAACUCUUACAUGGAUAACCGUGGUAAUUCUAGAGCUAAUACAUGCGCCCAAACCCAACUUCUUGGAAGGGUUGUGUUUAUUAGAUACAAAACCAACAUCUCGUUGGUGAUUCAUAAUAACCAAGCGAAUCGUCGGUUUACCGACGAUAGAUCGUUCAAGUUUCUGACCUAUCAGCUUUGGUCGGUAGGGUAUUGGCCUACCGAGGCAAUGACGGGUAACGGAGAAUUAGGGUUCGAUUCCGGAGAGGGAGCCUGAGAAACGGCUACCACAUCUAAGGAAGGCAGCAGG